rnacentral:rRNA from 1 species
CAAAAACAUAGCCCUAAGAAAUUAUUUAGGGUAAGCCCUGCCCGGUGACGUGAGUUUAACGGCCGCAGUACCUUGACUGUGCUAAGGUAGCGUAAUCAGUUGGCUUUUAAAUGGAGUCUAGUAUGAAUGGGUUUAUGGGGGGUAGCUGUCUCAAGUUUGUGCUUUGAAAUUCCUAAGAAGGUGAAAAUUCCUUCAAGCAAAUAAAAGACGAGAAGACCCUUAGAGCUUUGAAUAAUAAUAUAGAAUUAUAUUUCCUUUUUUGUUGGGGCGACAUGGAGACAAUUAAACUCUCCUUCGUAAAAGUUAACUUGCCGACGAAUUGUAAGUACGAAUAAGCUACCUUAGGGAUAACAGCAUAAUUUUCUUUUAAGCUUGUGACCUCGAUGUUGGACUAGGGACUUUAUGACUAGCCGUCAAAUUAGCAUGUUCUGUUCGAACACGACCCCCUACAUGAUCUGAGU